GCCAACGGGAAACCUCCUGGAUCAACAAGACAAGAGGGCUCGGUCUCAAGCUGUGCCAGGGGAGGUUUAGGUUAGACAUUAGAAAGAAUUUCUUUCCAGAGAGGGUAAUCAGACAUUGGAAUGGGCUGCCCAGGGAAGUAGUGGAUUCUCUGUCCCUGGAGGCUUUUAAGAAGAGACUGGAUGUGGCAUCAGUGCCAUGGGCUGGGAACCACAGUGGUAGUGGAUUAAGGGUUGGACUUGAUGAUCUCUGAGGUCCCUUCCAACCCAGCUGAUUCUAUGAUUCUGAUUCUAUGUAAGGGAGCUGCGUUGUUGUGGAACUCCUUGAGGACUCAUUGUGACAAAGGCACGUGGAACCCGUUGCGAUGGAGCUGCGUUGUGAUGAGGAGUGCGCAGCUCCUUGAGGAUGAAGGUCUGCAGAGCCUGCUGCGAGGCAGUUCCUCGGGGAUGAAGGACUGUGGAACCCACCGUGAGGGAGUUCCACUUGGAUGAAGCCUGCAGAGCCCCACCAUGAGGCCAGGGAGGUUAAUUGGAGGAAAGUGACUGUACAUCGGGCCCAAGAGCCUCCUACAGAGAUACUUGGCACAAAUAAAUCAGCCUAUUUUUGAUGAAUAACAA